rnacentral:rRNA from 1 species
AACGAACGCUGGCGGCAUGCCUAACACAUGCAAGUCGAACGAGACCUUCGGGUCUAGUGGCGCACGGGUACGUAACGCGUGGGAACCUGCCCUUAGGUUCGGAAUAACUCCCCGAAAGGGGUGCUAAUACCGGAUAAUGUCUUCGGACCAAAGAUUUAUCGCCUUUGGAUGGGCCCGCGUUGGAUUAGCUAGUUGGUAGGGUAAAAGCCUACCAAGGCGACGAUCCAUAGCUGGUCUGAGAGGAUGAUCAGCCACACUGGGACUGGGACACGGCCCAGACUCCUACGGGAGGCAGCAGUGGGGAAUAUUGGACAAUGGGCGAAAGCCUGAUCCAGCAAUGCCGCGUGAGUGAUGAAGGCCUUAGGGUUGUAAAGCUCUUUUACCCGGGAUGAUAAUGACAGUACCGGGAGAAUAAGCUCCGGCUAACUCCGUG